UAGGGAAUCUUCGGCAAUGGACGAAAGUCUGACCGAGCAACGCCGCGUGAGUGAAGAAGGUUUUCGGAUCGUAAAACUCUGUUGUUAGAGAAGAACAAGGACGUUAGUAACUGAACGUCCUCUGACGGUAUCUAACCAGAAAGCCACGGCUAACUACGUGCCAGCAGCCGCGGUAAUACGUAGGUGGCAAGCGUUGUCCGGAUUUAUUGGGCGUAAAGCGAGCGCAGGCGGUUUCUUAAGUCUGAUGUGAAAGCCCCCGGCUCAACCGGGGAGGGUCAUUGGAAUCUGGGAGACUUGGGUGCAGAAGAGGAGAGUGGAAUUCCAUGUGUAGCGGUGAAAUGCGUAGAUAUAUGGAGGAACACCAGUGGCGAAGGCGGCUCUCUGGUCUGUAACAGACGCUGAGGCUCGAAAGCGUGGGGAGCAAACAGG
rnacentral:rRNA from 1 species